CAAUAGCGUAUAUUAAAGUUGUUGCAGUUAAAAAGUUCGUAGUUGGAUUUCUGGUCGGAAGCUCCUGUCCUCUGAUGAGCGUACAAGUGCGUCCUACCAUCCUUCUGUUAACCUUUAAGGCUUUCGCGGCUUUCUAGGGGCUCAGAUAUUUUACCUUGAGAAAAUUAGAGUGUUUCAGGCAGGCUAGCGCCGGAAUACAUUAGCAUGGAAUAAUGGAAUAGGACUUUUGCCUCUUCUGUUGGUCAUGAGGCUCGAGUAAUGAUUAAUAGGGAUAGUUGGGGGCAUUAGUACUUAACUGUCAGAGGUGAAAUUCUCGGAUUUGUUAAAGACUAACUUAUGCGAAAGCAUUUGCCAAGGAUGUUUUCAUUAA
rnacentral:rRNA from 1 species